CCUACGGGUGGCAGCAGUGGGGAAUCUUGCACAAUGGGGGAAACCCUGAUGCAGCGACGCCGCGUGAGCGAGGAAGUAUUUCGGUAUGUAAAGCUCUAUCAGCAGUGAAGAAAAUGACGGUACCUGACUAAGAAGCCCCGGCUAACUACGUGCCAGCAGCCGCGGUAAUACGUAGGGGGCAAGCGUUAUCCGGAUUUACUGGGUGUAAAGGGAGCGUAGACGGUUGUGCAAGCCAGAUGUGAAAGCCCGGGGCUCAACCCCGGGACUGCAUUUGAAACUGUGUAGCUGGAGUGUCGGAGAGGUAGGCGGAAGUCCUAGUGUAGCGGUGAAAUGCGUAGAUAUCAGGAGGAACACCGGUGGCGAAGGCGGCCUACUGGACUGCAACUGACGUUGAGGCACGAAAGCGUGGGGAGCAAACAGGAUUAGAUACCCUUGUAGUC
rnacentral:rRNA from 1 species